GUACACGCUGUGACUAGCAUAUCAAUAAGCGGAGGAAAAGAAACUAACAAGGAUUCCCCUAGUAACGGCGAGUGAAGCGGGAAGAGCCCAAAUUUGAAAUCUUAAAGGGUUUCCCUUUACGAAUUGUAGUUUAAAGAAGUGUUUUCUGUUGAGGUUUUGGUAAAAGUUCUUUGGAAUAGGACAUCAUAGAGGGUGGGAAUCCCGUAUUUGACCUUUACUUUCAACUUUGUGAUACACUUUCAAAGAGUCGGAUUGUUUGGGAAUGCAGUCCAAAAUGGGUGGUAAAUUUCAUCUAAAGCUAAAUAUUGGCGAGAGACCGAUAGCGAACAAGUACCGUGAGGGAAAGGAUGAAAAGAACUUUGGAAAAGAGAGUUAAACAGUACGUGGAAAUUGUCAAAAGGGAAGCGUUUGACACCAGUGUUGUUUUUCUGAAAAUCAAUUAAAGAACUGUUUAUGCUAAGUUGUUUAGACUUUAUCAGCUAUCUGCUUUAGUUUUGAGCUUUUCUUUAAUGCACUUUUCAGUUAACAAGUCAACAUCAAUUUCUUUUGCUGUAAAAAAGCUUGAGGAAGGUGGCUUGAGAUUCGUCUUAAGUGUUUAUAGCCUCUUGCCUAUGCAGUCGGAGAGAUUGAGGUCUGCAGCGUAGAUCCUUCGGGGCUAAAUGCAUUUGUGCUAAGUUAUAGCAUUUUAUAGACAACUUGUUGACUAUGAUUUGUCUUGUAGCUUACUCGCUUAUGUUAUUUUACCUACGCUUAGGAUGUUGAUAUGCAUGACUGAUAU
rnacentral:rRNA from 1 species